UACGAGAGGCCCAAACGUUAUUCGGAAUUACUGGGCUUAAAGAGUUCGUAGGCGGCAUGAAAAGUAGGGUGUGAAAGCCCUCGGCUCAACCGAGGAAUUGCGCUCUAAACUGUCGUGCUCGAGGAAUCUAGAGGUGAGCGGAACUGAUGGUGGAGCGGUGAAAUGCGUUGAUAUCAUCAGGAGCACCGGAGGCGAAGGCGGCUCACUGGGGAUUUUCUGACGCUGAGGAACGAAAGCCAGGGGAGCGAACGGG
rnacentral:rRNA from 1 species